UACGUAGGGUGCAAGCGUUGUCCGGAAUUAUUGGGCGUAAAGAGCUCGUAGGCGGUUUGUCGCGUCUGCUGUGAAAUCCCGAGGCUCAACCUCGGGCCUGCAGUGGGUACGGGCAGGCUAGAGUGUGGUAGGGGAGAUCGGAAUUCCUGGUGUAGCGGUGAAAUGCGCAGAUAUCAGGAGGAACACCGGUGGCGAAGGCGGAUCUCUGGGCCAUUACUGACGCUGAGGAGCGAAAGCGUGGGGAGCGAACAGG
rnacentral:rRNA from 1 species